rnacentral:lncRNA from 1 species
GUGAGAACCAGGGGAACAAUUUUGCAAUGCAGCUUUCUAGAAACAAAACGCAACAGAAUAUGACACAGUAGGACUCCCUUAUCCGUGAAGGUUAAGUUCCAAGCCCCCCCCCAUGGAUACCCGAAACUGUGGAUAAUAGUGAACACUGCCUAGCAGGGAGAAUAUCUUGGAAAAAACAAAGAAACAAAGUCAAAAUCAUUCCACCAAUAGCAUAAUUUGCAGUGUGAAUCCUGAUAUUGUCUCAGUGCCUGGACCUUUUUGGUUUCUCUUCUUCAGCACAGACGGAUUGAUCAAUUCCAUUCAUGGGCCAUCUGUGGGCACCAGGUUGAAACUACUUUCUAAAGACUUCAGAGAUCUGGAUGUUAGAUCUUACCGACGUCAGCUGGAAAAGUUGCUUGACAAGGACAUAAAAACAGACAAGAAGCAUUUUCUGCGAACAUGGAAUAGAAUCAUUUCCAAGCUAGCAUAGGUAAUAAAUGUUUCCAAAUGACGGAACA